CUCUCUGAAUGGUGUGUAGUAAACAGUUCUUCGUACUCUUGUAUCUUCAGCACACCAUGGUUUCUCAGGCUUGGACAUGCUCAGGAAUGUACCUCUACCUCCAGGAAUCAAGAGCAUUUCACAGGAGUUCAAAAAAGAAAAGUACAGAUUUUCCAGAGUCCACAAUGGGAUUACAUCCUGAGAAACCCACUAGAUAUAUCCUCGUUUGGAAAAAUAUCACUGAAUAAGACAUUACAUUCAAUGUAUGUAAUACCUACUAUAUCAGCAAUGACAGCAUUUACUG